CCCUUAGAUGUUCUGGGCCGCACGCGUGCUACACUGAUGCAUUCAACGAGCCUAUCCUUGACCGACAGGUCCGGGUAAUCUUUGAAUCUGCAUCGUGACGGGGAUAGAUUAUUGCAAUUAUUAAUCUUCAACGAGGAAUGCCUAGUAGGCGCAAGUCAUCAGCUUGCGUCGAUUACGUCCCUGCCCUUUGUACACACCGCCCGUCGCUCCUACCGAUUGGGUGUGCUGGUGAAAUGUUCGGAUCGGCCGUUUGUCGCGGUUUCCGCGUCAUGUGGCUGAGAAGUUCAUUAAACCCUCCCACCGAGAGGAAGGAGAAGUCGUAACA
rnacentral:rRNA from 1 species